rnacentral:antisense_RNA from 1 species
UGUGGGAGCUGGCUUGCCAGCGAUGACGGUGUUUCAGUCGAAUAGAUAUUGACUGGACCGCCUCCAUCGCUGGCAAGCCAGCUCCCACA